AACAUGGAGGAGGAAGUGUGAUGGUCUGGGGCUGUUUGCUGGAUCCAGGGUCGGUGACUUGUACAGAGUGAGAGGCUCCCUGAACCAAAACAGCUACCACAGCAUUCUGCAGCACCAUGCAGUACCCUCUGGUAUGGACCUAGUUUGUCAGGGGUUUUAUCUGCCAAAGGUGGCUCCAUCGAUGAGUCCAAAGUUUAGAACACAUUUUGGUCUAUAGACUGAUUCCAUGAUUUCUUUUUUUUUUGUUGGUUGAACAGGACAGGCGCCUGAUAGCUGAAAGAUCUGCCUCUCAUUGCACUUUUAGAAACUCAAGUAGGCUUGCAAUCUGAAUUUGAAGUGCUCUAUUGUAAUGCUAUCAGGUCAUGGUAUUACACUAUGGGAUAAAUUAAUACUAUAAGGUCAUUAAAAUAUAGUGGAACCUGGUCAUUCAGGACUUUGUAUGUGAAGUUUAUCAAUAUUGAACAAAGGACAUGCUAGACAUGUGAAGACUCCUUGUUUAUGUUAACAAACUUGAAUCUGUCAGAGACCACUGUAGUUUAUUCCUUUAAUAUGAAGUUGCUGUAGUAAAAAGUUGCACUCACCAAUUGAUGUACUCAGGGGGACAAACACACAGACAGUCCACUGUCAGAGGCUUAGGAGGCCGGCAGCAUCACAAGGUAAGGAAUGUUUAACUCAUGGUUAAACAUCUUUGAAGCCUGUGAUAUACAGCCUAUUGAAAAAAUGAACUGGUCACAUUUAAAACUGAAACAUUAAUUAAUGAUUGACAUCUUCAGCAUCAUUCCUGCCAAGCUGUCAAGAUCUGAACCUAAAACAGGUCGCUGGUCACAUGGUGGAUUUUACAGGGUUAAUAAUUUGUGAUGAUUAUGAUUAACGUCCUGUAAGAGGUAAAUUGUGUCAGAGUAAAUGAUGUUUGGGCUUUCCUGAUUUCGGGGACUUCUGCCUGAUUGUUGUUGUCAUGAACACGUCUCAGGUUAAGUGCAGUUUAUUUACAGUGUGCGACAAUCAUUACUUACACAGCGGUGACGAUCCCAGGCUCCCACACAGGCACGUGCGGCUCUCCGACAGUUUCCAAAAACCAGAAGGCAAGAAUCUAGGUGACGUCCCGGCAUUGCACAAAACCCAGCGCACCGUAUACACACACAGACAGUAAGAUAGGAGAGAAAUGGCGGUUCCACACAGUGACGACUGAGGGAUGAUGAGAGCUGAAUUGACUUUAUUUUUCCCACCAAAGGUUUCAAGCAUGCAUUUUUCCGCCUCCUGUCUCAUUUGUCUCUCCUCAAAGGACCUACAGUUCCUGUUAGCAAGUUCCAUGCUGGAAGUGGGAAUGAUUUGAUGCUUGGUGCUUUCAGGGGCUCGGAGCUUUCAAGAUAAUGUGUUAUUCUGACAAAUGGAAGUCUGCAAAGUGCAGCACAUGUGAGCCUGUCUUUUGUCUCGUCUUCCUCCCCUCACCCCAACUGGAAGUGCAGAUGGCUGCCACCCCCUGAGCCUGGCUCUGCUGGAGUUUUUUUACUGUUAAAACAAAGUUUUUGAAGAACAGGAUCAGGUCUGGCACCACUCACAGUUGAGUUUUCAACUUUCGGGACAUGAAGACAGCAACAAAUUGUCAAUAAAAAGGAGUCUUUGCCAUCUUAUUGCAGUAGCUAUUGGUUUGCAACUGAAUUGGAUCAAGUUUGUCAAAAUGUGACAAUAAAUUGUGAUAAACAAAUUCAGUUGUUGAUGCCUGUUGCAGAUAUGUUGUUGUCUACAUGUACAGACAUUCACAUUGGCUUCUUAUAUUGAGCCAGAAUCUCAUAUUCUUAAAACAGAAUUUCUUCCAAAAACAGUGACAUAGCUGCAGGAUGACAGGUAUUUUCAAACCUUUGCCAACCUGUCUGAGAAUAACUGCAGUCAGUCCGAGCCAGAUCACAGUUGUUGGACACUAUUUGUCUCUGUAGAUAUAUGAAGCAUGGACGUAGCGCCCAGGUCGAUGUGGAAGUGCUGUAAACCUGCAUUGUAUCUGGCAAUAGCUGUGGUUGCAUAAAAACCUCUGGUUCUGUAGAGGUCUAUGGGAAAGCUGCUUUCUGUCCUGACCUCUGUCAAUACUUUCCUGCUUAGUUGCUGGGCUUGGUCCCUUGUUUUGGGUCAUACUGAAUACAAACUAAAGUCUGUGGUGUAAAUAUCGAUCCUUCCCUUUAUCUGUGGGAUUAUCUGUGGUAUGAAGCAACAUGCUCACUGGCUAACAAACUGUCAGUCAUAAGUAAAUAGUUGCGUGUAGUUUCACAGUCAGACCCAACCCAGCUUAUCACAUCUGUUUUUUAACCAAGAUUGUGAAAGCGGAAAAGCAGCUCUCAAGAACCCAGUAGUUACAUCCAUCUGUUAUACUGUUUGUCAUUUCAUCUUGAAGAAGAACAGCUCACGAAUGAACUAUGAGGAACUUAGGCUACGUUCACACUGCAGGUCUUAAUGCUCAC